CGGAUCGCAGGCUGNAACCCGCCUGCGUGAAGUUGGAAUUGCUAGUAAUCGCGGAUCAGCAUGCCGCGGUGAAUACGUUCCCGGGCCUUGUACACACCGCCCGUCACACCAUGGGAGCCGGUAAUACCCGAAGUCAGUAGCCUAACCGCAAGGGGGGCGCUGCCGAAGGUAGGAUUGGCGACUGGGGUGAAGUCGUAACAAGGUACC
rnacentral:rRNA from 1 species